ensembl:lncRNA
AAGUGUUUACUGAAAGCUGCUUUCACCACUUCUAUCUUGCUGGUAGCUCUGUCCUUACCCUGUAGUAGCAGCAGGUUGGGGACAAGCCCAGGGUGUGCUGAUGCUCUGUGCAGACCCAAGGAACAGAGCUGAUGGUGCUGGCACCAGAUGUGCCACUCCUGGCUGAGCCACAGACUAUCCUGUGGGAUGGUGCUUCAGGUGACUGCAGCUUUUAAGGGAGGAGGAGCCUGCUGGACCCCUCGGCAAUUUGGAUGCUGGGAGAUGCUCUCCUGCUGUCCCCCUCUUCAGAAGGAAAGGAGGAGGUCACAGACUGGAAAAAUAAGUUGCAGCUGUGAAUGCAGGCAGAGAUGUGCUGUGGAAGAGAUGUUUCUGCACAGUUUUUUUUCAUAUCUAAGGCAUGAGGGAUGAUGAAUCACCUGAAUGGAAGAUAAAGUUGGGAAGGAGUCCAGUUGGUCAUCUCAUUUUCUGCUGGCAGUGAUCAUGGGACUUGUACAUUCCCACAGAUUUUCUCCAAGAAAUGAAGUACAUUCACUUAGCAAUUUCAGUCCAUCUGAGUAUUAUGCAUGUUCAUGACUCAAAUGAUGUGUGACCACAUUUUUAUAACAAUAUUUAAUAGACAUUAGACCUAGAAAAGAACUCUGCCUAAUCCUGUUAAAUAACAGCAAGGAUAUUUUUCAGGCUAUAUAUCAAAUGCUUCCCACAAUGGGAAACUUCAUCAUUACUCUGUAAGCCAGAUAAACAAUCAGCCACACUCCAAAAAAGCUUAACUAUAAGGUGUAUGUUGUGAUACACAAAUCAAAAUGUAAUUGCUACCAGCCUGCCUGUUUGCUUGCGGCCACGCAACAUCCCUUUUAGAAGCUCCAUGCAUUAAAAAUGCAAUUAUGGAAACAAUUUAUAAUCAAUAUGUGGUUAUUAGGGCAACCUGCAUGUAUGGGAUAUUUUAUAGCAAUUAUAAUCCUAGCAGUCCUUUCUGAGAAUGAAAUUUGCAUCCAGCUUCUCCCUUUCAGGUUUCAGUCCUAGCACUGCCACCUACUGCUCAGAUAACUUUGAAAACUGUAUUUAUUAUUUGUUAGGGGGAGCUGAGGAAUUUUCAGAGCCCAUCAUUUGCAGAUGGGCUUGAACGCAGGCUUAUAUAGGGUGAGGGUUGAGGGGGGAGACUGUUGCAAAAGCUCAGUGGUCUCUGAUAAAUCUCCCUGCGUUUACAUGGCUGAGACCAGAAGGAAAAAAUACAAGUAUAGAUUCCUCAUUUGUAAUCCCUCAUUACUGAAAAGAGGUGUUAUCCUGAUCACUCCUCGUUUAUAGCACUUCCAUUUAAUAGCUGGUGGGGGGGUGUCUGAGCUACAAUGAAUGCUGAAGAGUUAUACUGGCUUCUGUAAGCUGAACUUCUGGCCCAGAAUUGUCCAGACAAAAAGUAUGCAGAAGUACUUUUUCAUUUCAGAGACAAAAGAGAAAAAAAAAAAGGCUUUUGCCAACCACGCCCACAGUCUUGCUUAUUUCUUUGUGAUGGGGAGGUUCAGUCUUCCAAGAAUAAUUAAGUUUGUUAAUGAAGAACGUUAAGGGCAAGUGAACCUGGUUCUUAGUAUCUCUGGUGCAAGGGCUGAUUGGAUUCUGGCACUUUGCCAGCUUUGCCAGGCCACUGCUGUCAAGGCAAGGUACCAAGGAUAGGCUUUAAGAUCCUCAAAACAAGGAAAAUGUGUAAAAUCGUGGCUGUUAGAAUUGAUCUGCGGCUUUGGGGAGGAUUAAAAUGCAUCUUUCUCUGGUGGUACCACCAGAGGGGUUUUGUGCCUUGCUCUUCCCCAGCACCAAUCUCCUUUCCAUUAAAGUAGCCUGUGGGGGGUGUGGGCAACCUCUGUGGGGUGUCUUUUUCUGAGCCAAAAGGAAAGUUGUCUGGCCAACAAGCUUCAGUUGCAGGGAAGAAGGGUAUGAAAUGUUGUACUGGAUUGGCUGAGGUUUGGGAUUGCUUCCAGCUGGAGAUUUAUUACAGCAUAAGGGGUGAAAGGAAGCAAACACUUUUUUUGGCUGAAAAUGACGAUUUUGCCAACUGUUUUGUUAUUAAAAUAAACUCAGAAAUAGAAG